rnacentral:rRNA from 1 species
CGGCGAGUGAAGCGGCAACAGCUCAAAUUUGAAAUCUGGCGUCUUUGGCGUCCGAGUUGUAAUUUGCAGAGGGCGCUUUGGCAUUGGCAGCGGUCCAAGUUCCUUGGAACAGGACGUCACAGAGGGUGAGAAUCCCGUACGUGGUCGCUAGCCUUUACCGUGUAAAGCCCCUUCGACGAGUCGAGUUGUUUGGGAAUGCAGCUCUAAAUGGGAGGUAAAUUUCUUCUAAAGCUAAAUACUGGCCAGAGACCGAUAGCGCACAAGUAGAGUGAUCGAAAGAUGAAAAGCACUUUGGAAAGAGAGUUAAAAAGCACGUGAAAUUGUUGAAAGGGAAGCGCUUGCAGCCAGACUUGCCUGUAGUUGCUCAUCCGGGUUUCUACCCGGUGCACUCUUCUAUAGGCAGGCCAGCAUCAGUUUGGGCGGUUGGAUAAAGGUCUCUGUCAUGUACCUCCUUUCGGGGAGAACUUAUAGGGGAGACGACAUGCAACCAGCCUGGACUGAGGUCCGCGCAUCUGCUAGGAUGCUGGCGUAAUGGCUGUAAGCGGCCCGUCUUGAAACACGGACCAAGGAGUCUAACAUCUAUG